rnacentral:rRNA from 1 species
UACAGAGGUGGCAAGCGUUGUUCGGAAUUACUGGGCGUAAAGGGCGCGUAGGCGGCCCGUCAAGUCCCGUGUGCAAGCCCCCGGCUCAACCGGGGAACGGCGCGGGAAACUAGCAGGCUUGAGUUCGGGAGAGGGAAGCGGAAUUCCGGGUGUAGCGGUGAAAUGCGCAGAUAUCCGGAGGAACACCGGUGGCGAAGGCGGCUUCCUGGACCGACACUGACGCUGAGGCGCGAAAGCUAGGGGAGCAAACGGG